rnacentral:rRNA from 1 species
CCUACGGGAGGCAGCAGUGGGGAAUAUUGCACAAUGGGCGCAAGCCUGAUGCAGCGACGCCGCGUGAGGGAUGACGGCCUUCGGGUUGUAAACCUCUUUCAGUAGGGAAGAAGCGAAAGUGACGGUACCUGCAGAAGAAGCGCCGGCUAACUACGUGCCAGCAGCCGCGGUAAUACGUAGGGCGCAAGCGUUAUCCGGAAUUAUUGGGCGUAAAGAGCUCGUAGGCGGUUUGUCGCGUCUGCCGUGAAAGUCCGGGGCUCAACUCCGGAUCUGCGGUGGGUACGGGCAGACUAGAGUGAUGUAGGGGAGACUGGAAUUCCUGGUGUAGCGGUGAAAUGCGCAGAUAUCAGGAGGAACACCGAUGGCGAAGGCAGGUCUCUGGGCAUUAACUGACGCUGAGGAGCGAAAGCAUGGGGAGCGAACAGGAUUAGAUACCCUGGUAGUCCAUGCCGUAAACGUUGGGCACUAGGUGUGGGGGACAUUCCACGUUUUCCGCGCCGUAGCUAACGCAUUAAGUGCCCGCCUGGGGNGACGCGCAGACGAACACAANAGAGUAGACGCGNGAGAGNGCGAGACGACGACGAGGGAGGAGG